rnacentral:rRNA from 1 species
AUACGGAGGAUGCGAGCGUUAUCCGGAUUUAUUGGGUUUAAAGGGAGCGUAGGUGGGAUAUUAAGUCAGCUGUGAAAGUUUGGGGCUCAACCUUAAAAUUGCAGUUGAUACUGGUUUCCUUGAGUACGGUACAGGUGGGCGGAAUUCGUGGUGUAGCGGUGAAAUGCUUAGAUAUCACGAAGAACUCCGAUCGCGAAGGCAGCUCACCGGGCCGGAACUGACACUGAUGCUCGAAAGUGCGGGUAUCAAACAGGAUUAGAUACCCUGGUAGUCCGCACAGUAAACGAUGAAUACUCGCUGUUUGCGAUACACGGUAAGCGGCCAAGCGAAAGCGUUAAGUAAUCCACCUGGGGAGUACGCCGG